GCUACGGGAGGCAGCAGUGGGGAAUAUUGCACAAUGGGGGAAACCCUGAUGCAGCGACGCCGCGUGAGUGAAGAAGUAAUUCGUUACGUAAAGCUCUAUCAGCAGGGAAGAAACACUGACCUUACGGUCAGCAGACGGUACCUGAGUAAGAAGCCCCGGCUAACUACGUGCCAGCAGCCGCGGUAAUACGUAGGGGGCAAGCGUUAUCCGGAUUUACUGGGUGUAAAGGGAGCGGCGACGGUGCGCCAAGUCUGGAGUGAAAUGCGUAAGCUGAACUUCGGAACUGCUUUGGAAACUGGCGAACUAGAGUGCGGGAGGGGUAAGCGGAAUUCCUAGUGUAGCGGUGAAAUGCGUAGAUAUUAGGAGGAACACCGGUGGCGAAGGCGGCUUACUGGACCGUAACUGACGUUGAGGCUCGAAAGCGUGGGGAGCAAACAGGAUUAGAAACCCGGGUAGUC
rnacentral:rRNA from 1 species